AACGAACGCUGGCGGCAUGCCUAACACAUGCAAGUCGAACGAGACCUUCGGGUCUAGUGGCGCACGGGUGCGUAACGCGUGGGAACCUGCCCUUAGGUUCGGAAUAACUCCCCGAAAGGGGUGCUAAUACCGGAUAAUGUCUUCGGACCAAAGAUUUAUCGCCUUUGGAUGGGCCCGCGUUGGAUUAGCUAGUUGGUAGGGUAAAAGCCUACCAAGGCGACGAUCCAUAGCUGGUCUGAGAGGAUGAUCAGCCACACUGGGACUGAGACACGGCCCAGACUCCUACGGGAGGCAGCAGUGGGGAAUAUUGGACAAUGGGCGAAGGCCUGAUCCAGCAAUGCCGCGUGAGUGAUGAAGGCCUUAGGGUGGUAAAGCUCUUUUACCCGGGAUGAUAAUGACAGUACCGGGAGAAUAAGCUCCGGCUAACUCCGUG
rnacentral:rRNA from 1 species